UACGUAGGUGGCAAGCGUUGUCCGGAUUUAUUGGGUUUAAAGGGUGCGUAGGUGGUCAAUUAAGUCAGUGCUGAAAUAUCCCGGCUUAACCGGGAGGGUGGCAUUGAUACUGAAUGACUUGAGUGGAGUUGAGGUAGGCGGAAUUGACGGUGUAGCGGUGAAAUGCUUAGAUAUCGUCAAGAACACCAAUAGCGAAGGCAGCUUACUAAGCUCUAACUGACACUGAUGCACGAAAGUGUGGGGAUCAAACAGG
rnacentral:rRNA from 1 species